GUGCUCGCUUGGGAGCACAUAUACUAAAAUUGGAAUGAUAUAGAGGAUAGGAUGGCUCCUGCACAAGGAUGACACACAAAUUCGUGAAAUGUUCCAUUUUUUU
ensembl:snRNA U6 U6 spliceosomal RNA